rnacentral:rRNA from 1 species
CAGGCUGAAGACUUACCCGAUUAGCUGAGAGGUGGUGCAUGGCCGUCGUCAGUUCGUACUGUGAAGCAUCCUGUUAAGUCAGGCAACGAGCGAGACCCACGUCCACAGUUGCCAGCAUACCCUCCGGGGUGAUGGGUACACUGUGGAGACCGCCGCUGCUAAAGCGGAGGAAGGAGUGGGCAACGGUAGGUCAGUAUGCCCCGAAUCUCCCGGGCUACACGCGGGCUACAAUGGUUGGUACAAUGGGCAUCUACCCCGAAAGGGGAAGGAAAUCUCUUAAAGCCAAUCGUAGUUCGGAUUGAGGGCUGCAACUCGCCCUCAUGAAGCUGGAAUCCGUAGUAAUCGCGUUUCAACAGAACGCGGUGAAUACGUCCCUGCUCCUU